rnacentral:lncRNA from 1 species
UCAUAAUACUAAGUUAAAAAGAAAAAUACUAUCAUCCCUCUAAACUAACAAAUGGAAACAGUGGACUCGAUGUCAUGCAUCAACUAUCAUAUCAGAAGAAUAAAUACAGUAUAAUCCAAUCAUACAGAUCACUCAUAAGUCUAGUAAAGCCUAUACCUGCCUCACGCUUAGGUACCAUCUUACUGGUGGGCUACCAGCGUGCAGACCACCUAGUAUCUCUAAA